AGUGAACGCUGGCGGUAGGCCUAACACAUGCAAGUCGAACGGCAGCACAGGAGAGCUUGCUCUCUGGGUGGCGAGUGGCGGACGGGUGAGGAAUACAUCGGAAUCUACUUUUUCGUGGGGGAUAACGUAGGGAAACUUACGCUAAUACUGCAUACGACCUACGGGUGAAAGCAGGGGAUCUUCGGACCUUGCGCGAGUGAAUGAGCCGAUGUCGGAUUAGCUAGUUGGCGGGGUAAAGCCACACCAAGGCGACGAUCCGUAGCUGGUCUGCGAGGAUGAGCAGCCACACAGGGACUUAGACACGGUCCAGACUCCUACGUGAGGCAGCGGUGGGGAAUAUUGGACAAUGGGCGCAAGCCUGAUCCAGCCAUACCGCGUGGGUGAAGAAGGCCUUCGGGUUGUAAAGCCCUUUUGUUGGGAAAGAAAUCCAGCUGGUUAAUACCCGGUUGGGAUGACGGUACCCAAAGAAUAAGCACCGGCUAACUUCGUGCCAGCCGCCGCGGUAA
rnacentral:rRNA from 1 species